GUUGACCUCGGAUCAGGUAGGAAUACCCGCUGAACUUAAGCAUAUCAAUAAGCGGAGGAAAAGAAACCAACAGGGAUUGCCUCAGUAACGGCGAGUGAAGCGGCAACAGCUCAAAUUUGAAAUCUGGCCCCAGGCCCGAGUUGUAAUUUGCAGAGGAUGCUUUUGGUGCGGUGCCUUCCAAGUUCCCUAGAACGGGACGCCAGAGAGGGUGAGAGCCCCGUACAGUUGGACACCAAGCCUUUGUAAAGCUCCUUCGACGAGUCGAGUAGUUUGGGAAUGCUGCUCAAAAUGGGAGGUAUAUUUCUUCUAAAGCUAAAUACCGGCCAGAGACCGAUAGCGCACAAGUAGAGUGAUCGAAAGAUGAAAAGCACUUUGAAAAGAGGGUUAAACAGCACGUGAAAUUGUUAAAAGGGAAGCGCUUGUGACCAGACUUGCGUCCGGUGAAUCACCCAGCUCUCGCGGCUGGGGCACUUCGCCGGCUCAGGCCAGCAUCAGCUCGCUGUCGGGGACAAAAGCUUCAGGAACGUAGCUCUCUUCGGGGAGUGUUAUAGCCUGUUGCACAAU
rnacentral:rRNA from 1 species